rnacentral:rRNA from 1 species
GACGAACGCUGGCGGCGUGCUUAACACAUGCAAGUCACGGGGGCUCGCAAGAGCAACCGGCGAACGGGUGCGUAACACGUGAGCAACCUGCCGAUCUGAGGGGGAUAGCCGGCCCAACGGCCGGGUAAUACCGCAUACGUUCUCGAGAGGGAGUCCUCUUGGGAAGAAACCUCCGGGGCAGAUCGAGGGGCUCGCGGCCUAUCAGCUAGUUGGUGAGGUAACGGCUCACCAAGGCAUCGACGGGUAGCUGGUCUGAGAGGAUGGCCAGCCACAUUGGGACUGAGAGACGGCCCAGACUCCUACGGGAGGCAGCAGUGGGGAAUCUUGCGCAAUGGCCGAAAGGCUGACGCAGCGACGCCGCGUGUGGGAUGAAGCA